CAACUUUCAACAACGGAUCUCUUGGCUCUCGCAUCGAUGAAGAACGCAGCGAAAUGCGAUAAGUAAUGUGAAUUGCAGAAUUCAGUGAAUCAUCGAAUCUUUGAACGCACCUUGCGCUCCUUGGUAUUCCGAAGACAUGCCUGUUUGAGUGUCAUG
rnacentral:rRNA from 1 species